rnacentral:lncRNA from 9 species
GCAGUUUCAGCGGGUCUGGCAGCGUGAAAGAAAAAGCUAAGCCUCUUCACGGAGCAAGUUUGUGUUGCUUUAAUAGUGCGCGAAAAACCUUCCUUUCCGAGUCCCUGACUGCUGAAGAGCGAGGCUAGUCCCGGCCUCUCCAGUGACAUUUUUGUCUGGUGAAUACAUGCUACUGGACUGAUCCUCUGUCAAAUUCCAUGAGUGUGUUUAAUUUCCAGCAUAAUAAACAAAUGAGGCAUUGGAGUUGUCACAUUACUUGGAAGAGGUAUUGAGAAAAACGUGGAAACAACAUUGAGAUAGGAAGAGAAAUGACAAUCCUGGCCUGUAUAACACUGUCCCUUGCAGGCAGGUUUUCAGAGCAUCUGGAGAACGUCUCCUAUGGCCAGACAUCUGCAUCAGCAAGCUCACUGGGGACCUGCCAGGCUCUUCACUGGUGACAUGGAGGAUGAUGGUCUCCAGCCCCGUCUGCAGACUUAGCUGUGACCUGGCCCAGAUCCAUGGCCUGCCAAAGCAGGAGACCCCCACAGUUCUGCACCUAAUGGGGAGAGUCCUCCUUGUUUUCCUGCCUGAAGGACAGGAAUGCUUUGGGGUUCCCCAAAAGCUGAACAGCAGGCAGUUGCAAAAAGCUCAGGCCACCUCUUUCUCCAUGAGAUGAUCCAGCCGAGCUUCAACUUGUUUGGCACAAACAGCUGAAAUUCCUCACUGGGCUUGAUCAGCAGGAGGAAGCUCUGCAGACCAGUUUGGUGCAGGAGCCUGGGGAAGAAAAGACCUUCCUGGAGAUGAGGACUCUAGCCUGACUUUGAAUAACUCCUUUUGAAGGACCAGGUUACAUCUGAAAAGGAAGUACAUAGCUGCUGUGCACGGGACAUUGUCAGACUGGAAAUUAAGACCUGAAAACCAGUAUGUGCUUUCCCUAUAGCAUCAACCUCAGAGAAAAUCCAGGAGUGGGAAAGGAGACUUGGACCCAGUCAUGUACAACUGAGUCUUAUCUACUUAUAGGUGCCUCUUGUGUGUCAGUGUUCCCUCAGUUCAAAGACUUUUCUGCUUCGGUUGUAAAUGCAUUGAGUCAUCUCGGCAAAUUGUUUUUCAAUACUAAAAAGAGAGUAUAAUUUUGAAUUGAGAGUAACUUUUUAGUGUGGUAUUUACAGAUAAAUUCUCUAUGAGUUUUGUAUUUACAAAUUUUUUUUUUCAUUUUAUGCCCUGCUAUGUAUCUUGUUUUUCUUUGCACUGGGGUGCAAGAGACAUACUUUGUUUUUUUAAGGCUUUGCUUACUGUAUUUUUUUUUAUUUUAUGAUUUUUAUUUUUUCCAUUAUAGUUGCUUUACAGUGUUAGAUCUUACUCACACUGUUAUGCAAAGUAUCCUUAAACCUUUAAUCGGCCUUAAAACCCUAAAAGAAUGUUUUACUCAUUUCAUUGAUUCUUAAAAUAUUUUUAAGAAUCUUUGUUCCUAGUAAUUUACUUGUGUUUGUAAAUAUAUUGGUAAAUAAAACAAAGAUAUCACUUUCUUAUAUGGAGUACUGUGACAUAGCAGCUGGAACUAUUCAUUCUCGUGGAGAAAACAUGUCUACUGGCUAUUGAUUCAGUUUCAGCAGUUACAUGAUCAAGAAACUUAAAGGGAAACAUUUUAUAGAAUCAUGGAAUUUAAAUUUCAGCAAAUAAGUAGUGAAUAUGCCUUCUAUUUGUUGGUAUUGUGCUGGGUGCCAGAUACAAUGGGAAGAGUAGACACGUUGCCUGCUGUCACAGAGCUUCCAGUCUGGUGGAGAUUUGUAUAACUGAGUAUUCAAUUAAAGGAAUGCUAAUACUGUGACAGGAAAGUAUAGCAUAAUGGUAGCAUGUGGUAUCGCAUGAAACAGGGAAGCUUCCAAAGGAAGCAACUAGUAUCCUGGCAUCCCAAGGAUUUAGCCAGAUAUUGCAUGAUGGUCAAUUUUGGACAUGUUGUGUGGAAUCAGUUUAGGGUAGCAAGUAGAAAUAGGAGCUUGGAGAUAAUGACAAAAUGCUUGGAGAUAUGAUUCUGAGUGAAGACAUACAUAUGGAAGUCACAAUCAUAGAGAUGCCAUUUGGGACUAUUUUGGAGAUUGAGACUAUUUGCAGAGAGGAUAAAGUGUGAUGCCUAGUGUGGAAUUUUAAGGAAAAC